rnacentral:rRNA from 1 species
AGAGUUUGAUCCUGGCUCAGGACGAACGCUGGCGGCGUGCUUAACACAUGCAAGUCGAACGGUGAGGCCCUUUCGGGGGCUGAGCAGUGGCGAACGGGUGAGUAACACGUGGGUAACCUGCCCCUGGCUCUGGGAUAACUCCGGGAAACCGGGGCUAAUACCGGAUACGACACUCGCAGGCAUCUGCUGGGUGUGGAAAGUUUUUCGGCUGGGGAUGGGCCCGCGGCCUAUCAGCUUGUUGGUGGGGUGGUGGCCUACCAAGGCGGUGACGGGUAGCCGGCCUGAGAGGGCGACCGGCCACACUGGGACUGAGACACGGCCCAGACUCCUACGGGAGGCAGCAGUGGGGAAUAUUGCGCAAUGGGCGAAAGCCUGACGCAGCGACGCCGCGUGAGGGAUGACGGCCUUCGGGUUGUAAACCUCUUUCAGCAGGGACGAAGGGUGACUGACGGUACCUGCAGAAGAAGCACCGGCCAACUACGUGCCAGCAGCCGCGGUAAUACGUAGGGUGCAAGCGUUGUCCGGAAUUAUUGGGCGUAAAGAGCUCGUAGGCGGCUUGUCACGUCGACUGUGAAAACCCGGGGCUUAACUUCGGGCUUGCAGUCGAUACGGGCUGGCUAGAGUACGGUAGGGGAGACUGGAAUUCCUGGUGUAGCGGUGAAAUGCGCAGAUAUCAGGAGGAACACCGGUGGCGAAGGCGGGUCUCUGGGCCGUUACUGACGCUGAAGAGCGAAAGCGUGGGGAGCGAACAGGAUUAGAUACCCUGGUAGUCCACGCCGUAAACGUUGGGCGCUAGGUGUGGGGGUCUUUCCACGACCUCCGUGCCGCAGCUAACGCAUUAAGCGCCCCCCUGGGAGUACGGCC